rnacentral:rRNA from 1 species
AUGGCACAAAUUGACAAGAGGAUACCUCAAGUUGGUAUGAGAUUCAAAGAUUCAAAUGAGGCUUGGAUGUUUUGGGUAGAAUAUGGGGGUCACAUAGGCUUUGAUGUGAGGAAAAGAUGCACCAACAAAAGCAAAUUUGAUGGAAAGGUGACUUCAUGCAGAUUUGUUUGUUCCAAUGAGGGUCUUAGAAGGAAAUGUCAAACCGAACGUGAGCCAAAGCGUUUUAGAGCUGAAACAAGAACUGAUUGUCUAGUUCGGAUGGUUAUUACAUUGGAUCGAGCGACAGAAAAUUAUGAAAUUAUUGAAGUUGUGUUGGAACACAACCACUACCUUCAAUUGCCACAAACCCGCCACUUGUUGGCUUCACAAAGGAAGAUUUCAGAACUGCAAGCUUUCGAGAUAGAAACCGCUGAUGAUUCUGGAAUUAUGCCAAAAGCCGCACAUGAGUUUGCUUGUCGUAAAGGAAGGAAUGUUGUAGAAAAUCCAAAACUAGAAGCUCAACUUCGGUACCAGGAUUUGUCUCAUAAAUUUCACAAUUUGGCACAUAAAGCAGCCAACUAUUUAGAAUGUUGUGUGCUAUUGGAGAAUGCACUUGAUUCCGUUGCUCCACAAAUAGAGGAUAAACUCAACGCAACUACUAGUGCUAUGAAUGAACCAUGUAAAGACAAGGAAAAUGUUGAACCAAAUGUGCAGCAAACAAAUGAGUUUCUUUGUUCCGCACAACUGAAGAAAAAAGAGGUUCAAUCAAGAAAUUUAAGGAGAAAGAAAGGUUGGCUUGAUAAGUUACUCAAGGGGAAGCGCAAGUCAACUAAAACUACCGCACCAACAAAAAAAGGAGCAAAGAUAUGUUGUUAUUUACAUGAUUUGUUCAUUGUUCGAUUCUAA